rnacentral:sRNA from 1 species
GAUCACGAUGUCGCCGCGGUUCACGGCGGCAUCACGGUUGAC